AUUGAACGCUGGCGGAAUGCUUUACACAUGCAAGUCGAACGGCAGCACGGACUUCGGUCUGGUGGCGAGUGGCGAACGGGUGAGUAAUAUAUCGGAACGUGCCCAGUCGUGGGGGAUAACGUAGUGAAAAUUACGCUAAUACCGCAUACGAUCUAAGGAUGAAAGCGGGGGAUCGCAAGACCUCGCGCGAUUGGAGCGGCCGAUAUCAGAUUAGGUAGUUGGUAGGGUAAAGGCCUGCCAAGCCAACGAUCUGUAGCUGGACUGAGAGGACGACCAGCCACACUGGAAGUGAGACACGGUCCAGACUCCUACGGGAGGCAGCAGUGGGGAAUUUUGGACAAUGGGCGCAAGCCUGAUCCAGCCAUUCCGCGUGCAGGAUGAAGGCCCUCGGGUUGUAAACUGCUUUUGUACAGAACGAAAAGGUUUCUACUAAUACUAGGAGCUCAUGACGGUGCUGUAAGAAUAAGCACCGGCUAACUACGUGCCAGCCGCCGCAGUAA
rnacentral:rRNA from 1 species